rnacentral:rRNA from 1 species
GGUUUACCUGUGUGACUGCGUACCUUUUGUAUAAUGGGUCAGCGACUUAUAUUCUGUAGCAAGGUUAACCGAAUAGGGGAGCCGGAGGGAAACCGAGUCUUAAUUGGGCGUUAAGUUGCAGGGUAUAGACCCGAAACCCGGUGAUCUAGCCAUGGGCAGGUUGAAGGUUGGGUAACACUAACUGGAGGACCGAACCGACUAAUGUUGAAAAAUUAGCGGAUGACCUGUGGCUGGGGGUGAAAGGCCAAUCAAACCGGGAGAUAGCUGGUUCUCCCCGAAAGCUAUUUAGGUAGCGCCUCGUGAAUUCAUCUCCGGGGGUAGAGCACUGUUUCGGCUAGGGGGCCAUCCCGGCUUACCAACCCGAUGCAAACUGCGAAUACCGGAGAAUGUUAUCACGGGAGACACACGGCGGGUGCUAACGUCCGUCGUGAAGAGGGAAACAACCCAGACCGCCAGCUAAGGUCCCAAAGUCAUGGUUAAGUGGGAAACGAUGUGGGAAGGCCCAGACAGCCAGGAUGUUGGCUUAGAAGCAGCCAUCAUUUAAAGAAAGCGUAAUAGCUCACUGGUCGAGUCGGCCUGCGCGGAAGAUGUAACGGGGCUAAACCAUGCACCGAAGCUGCGGCAGCGAACGUAUCACCCAAGACAACUUUACGGAGUUGACGAUUGACGGAGCGAAGCGACGUCAAAGCGUUCAUUAAAGUCGAGUUGGCUUAGGGAUACGUUCGUUGGGUAGGGGAGCGUUCUGUAAGCCUGUGAAGGUGUGUCGUGAGGC